UUUCAGAUUCUGAUUCCAGUCUAUUUAUAAUGGGUGUGGCUGUGGCUGGGGGUGUGGCCGGGGGAGUGGUCCUCACUAUCAUCCUUUUAAAAGUUGUACCAUGUUGCUGCCGAAGACAGACAGGUGCUGUGUCCAAAACGUCCAGUGCAGCACUUGGUUUGGCAGACAGAAAUACCACUGAGUCUCAGGAUAAGUGUCAUGAAG